rnacentral:rRNA from 1 species
UACGUAGGGGGCAAGCGUUAUCCGGAUUUACUGGGUGUAAAGGGAGCGUAGACGGCGAUGCAAGUCUGAAGUGAAAGGCGGGGGCCCAACCCCCGGACUGCUUUUGAAACUGCCAAGCUAGAGUGUCGGAGAGGUAAGUGGAAUUCCUAGUGUAGCGGUGAAAUGCGUAGAUAUUAGGAGGAACACCAGUGGCGAAGGCGGCUUACUGGACGAUGACUGACGCUGAGGCUCGAAAGCGUGGGGAGCAAACAGG